CGAGAAGAUUAUUACUAUUAUUACUUAAACACAAUUAUGGACCUAUCUAAAGCGAUUGAUAAAGAUUCUCAUCCUCUUCUUCUUAUCAAAUCGUAAAAAUUGGUGUCAGGGGAAUUGCUCUGAACCUUCUCAAAAGCCAUCUAUCUGAAAGACUGCAAAAAUUAAAAUAAACAAUAACAUCAGUGAUGAGGCAAAUCUUACGUAUGGAAUACCACAAGCGGGAUAAUAAGACAAGGGGAUGUAACGUCGCUAAAACUGUUUACCAUUGCGCUGGAGCUUGUCUUUAAGACCUAUGGGGGUAACAUCAACAACGAAUACACCUCUCACCUUCGUUUCGCCGACGAAAUCAUAAUGUUUG
rnacentral:misc_RNA from 1 species